AGCGUUGUUCGGAAUUACUGGGCGUAAAGCGCGUGUAGGCGGUUUUCCAAGUUGGAUGUGAAAGCCUUGAGCUUAACUCAAGAAAUGCAUUCAGGACUGGAUGACUAGAGGACCGGAGAGGAUAGUGGAAUUCCCAGUGUAGUGGUGAAAUACGUAGAGAUUGGGAAGAACACCAGUGGCGAAGGCGGCUAUCUGGACGGUUUCUGACGCUAAGACGCGAAGGCGUGGGGAGCAAGCAGG
rnacentral:rRNA from 1 species